GACGAACGCUGGCGGCGUGCUUAACACAUGCAAGUCGAACGGAAAGGCCCUGCUUUUGUGGGGUGCUCGAGUGGCGAACGGGUGAGUAACACGUGAGUAACCUGCCCUUGACUUUGGGGUAACUUCAGGAAACUGGGGCUAAUACCGGAUAGGAGCUCCUGCUGCAUGGUGGGGGUUGGAAAGUUUCGGCGGUUGGGGAUGGACUCGCGGCUUAUCAGCUUGUUGGUGGGGUAGUGGCUUACCAAGGCUUUGACGGGUAGCCGGCCUGAGAGGGUGACCGGCCACGUUGGGACUGAGAUACGGCCCAGACUCCUACGGGAGGCAGCAGUGGGGAAUAUUGCACAAUGGGCGGAAGCCUGAUGCAGCAACGCCGCGUGCGGGAUGACGGCCUUCGGGUUGUAAACCGCUUUCGCCUGUGACGAAGCGUGAGUGACGGUAAUGGGUAAAGAAGCACCGGCUAACUACGUG
rnacentral:rRNA from 1 species